CGCGGCACAGGCCACAUUUCUAGUGCUUCAAUAGUCAUAUAUGGCUCAUGGCUACUGCACUGGAAUGUGCAGAUAGAAAGUUCUACCGGACGGCAUGGCUUAUUCUGCCUUAAUCCUGACACCAUCUCCUUGCCAACCACCCCCACCCGUCCCCGGCCUCAGCCCAGAAGCAAAGUUCUGAGCGCUCAAGGCUGGCCAACAGAGCAUACAUCACUGCUUGGCCUCUGUCUUGUCCCUGGGCUGCCAACUGCUCCCCUGCUGGAUUCCAAGGCUUGGAGAGAAGGCCAGAUGGGAACUCGCUCUCCUGCCUCAGCGACCCCUUGAAGUGGCCCUCUUUGAGCAUUUCGUGGAAGAGGAGACACAGAGGCAGAGUCUGCUCUUCUGAGAAAUGACCAGAGGAAUGCCUUAUAUAUGCGGUGCAUCUCACAGUUCCCUACGGAGAAGGACCACUGAGCCUGGGUGAGGUGGGGGACCUCAGGGCUGUGAGCCUUUGAUUCUCCCCCAAUAUCCUGGGUUCAAAGGACAGGCCUGACUGAGAGUCCUGUGGGGAUCAGGCCUGCGGCUGGUCAAGGAGGAAGUCAGAUGGCUUGCUCCACCACCUGGUGCCGAUUUACACCUCCCUGCUCCCCACACCAAGGCAGGCUGCAUGUGAAGAAUGUGAACGGGGUCCUGGCCCCCAUGAGGAGCAGAGGCAUCAGCACAGCAGCCGCCCCCCAAACCAUGGCAGGGCCUGAGACUGAGCUGGGGGUGUGGAGAUGGAGAAGCAAAGCAAGAGGAAAGAAGUGAGAGGAGAAAAGAGCAACCUGCAUCAUAUGCUUCAUCUCCUCUUGUUCUGCAAGCAGCAAAGAGCAGUGUUGCCCCUUGAAAGCAUACACUGACGCUGAACUACAAGUCAGCCUUCACCACUGAGCAUGGGCAAGCUGAAAGAGAAGGUUCCUCUGCCGUGUGGAACAGCAAAGCUGAAACAGCGGUGGCCGGCACUCUGAUGGCAUGGGCCAGCCCAUCCUCCCCACUCUAACAAAUGGUUUCCAUCACCGAAGGCAACUCUAGUAAUAGCCACGCCUUGCUGAGUAUGUCAUCUGGACCAGGCACGAGGUCAGGACAGGGCCUCACGGUGGGCCUGGACGGCUUUGAACUGCUGGAUUUAAAGUCCCACUCUCACAACAUAAGCAAGCGUCAGAGGGUCGGCAGAGCCACAGACCCUAGUCCUGAGACAGAGGCCGCCUGGUGGGAUAACAGUGCACAGGAUUCGGCUUUGGGAGACUUGGUCUGCAGGCCCAGCCCUGCCACUUACUGAUCCUGAUCGGUGCUGUCUGAUCCUGAGGAAGCCACAUGUCCUCUGUGAGCUGUGCAGUCUCCCUCGCCCCCCUCACUGGUAUUUUCAUGGAGGUGAUGUGUGUACAACCACGCUGUGAAUUGAACACGCUCAGAGAGUGGCUAAACCUUCCAGAAGACCGGCUCAUCAUGAAGCAGCCACAGAGGUGCUCAGACCGGGAUUGAUCACCUAGUCCAGGUGUCCUGCUUCACAGAUGAGGAACUCUAAGCCCUAGAGAGGUAAAGGCUCUUCUCAUCCUCCACACCCCUGAUUACCAAGAGUAAUCACCCCAGAGUGCCUUCCCUCUGUGUGAACGAGGUCUCCACAUAAAGGACUGGCUUCCAUUUGCAGGAGGUGGGUGUGGGCAGCCAAGGUCUUG